rnacentral:rRNA from 1 species
AUUGAACGCUGGCGGCAGGCCUAACACAUGCAAGUCGAGCGAGCGGCGGACGGGUGAGUAAUGUCUGGGAAACUGCCCGAUGGAGGGGGAUAACUCCCGGAAACGGCAGCUAAUACCGCAUACCAUCUUAUGUGCCCAGAUGGGAUUAGCUAGUAGGUGGGGUAACGGCUCACCUAGGCGACGAUCCCUCGCGGGUCUGAGAGGAUGACCAGCCACACUGGAACUGAGACACGGUCCAGACUCCUACGGGAGGCAGCAGUGGGGAAUAUUGCACAAUGGGCGCAAGCCUGAUGCAGCCAUGCCGCGUGUGUGAAGAAGGCCUUCGGGUUGUAAAGCACUUUCAGCGGGGAGGCGUUACCCGCAGAAGAAGCACCGGCUAACUUCGUGCCAGCAGCCGCGGUAAUUC